rnacentral:rRNA from 1 species
AUUGAACGCUGGCGGCAGGCCUAACACAUGCAAGUCGAACGAGUGGCGGACGGGUGAGUAAUGUCUGGGAAACUGCCCGAUGGAGGGGUAUAACUACUGGAAACGGUAGCUAAUACCGCAUACCAUCGGAUGUGCCCAGAUGGGAUUAGCUAGUAGGUGGGGUAACGGCUCACCUAGGCGACGAUCCCUAGCUGGUCUGAGAGAAUGACCAGCCACACUGGAACUGAGACACGGUCCAGACUCCUACGGGAGGCAACAGUGGGGAAUAUUGCACAAUGGGCGCAAGCCUGGUGCAGCAAUGCCGCGUGUAUGAAGAAGGCCUUCGGGUUGUAAAGUACUUUCAGCGGGGAGGCGUUACCCGCAGAAGAAGCACCGGCUGACUCCGUGCCAGCAGCCGCGGUAAUAC